UUAUUGCUAGUUGAAAACUUUAACCAAUACCCCGCCACGAUGAAGUGAAACAUUCUUUGUUGUCGGCAAUUUUUGACAGCUCCAGCAGGAG
rnacentral:snRNA from 1 species